AGCGCCCGCGGCGGGGCCAGCUGAAGCGCGUCCCGCCAGAGGGGCGUGCGGGUCAGAGCCGGGCCCGGCAGGGACGUGCGGGUCAGAGCCGGGCCCGGCAGGGACGUGCGGGUCAGAGCGGGGCCCGGCAGGGACGUGCGGGUAGAUGCAAAACCUACAGAAAUCCUCCCUCAGAUGCCUUGUAGACUGCUUCAGUGUUUGUCAAACCACGUGCAGUUUGGAUGAGAGAGCCCUGCUACUUUCUGUCUGCAAUAAAUAUCCUGAAAGUCUUUCUGUGCCUUGAGUUGCAGAGGAAACCCUUCAGAACAGUAGGAAGCUCAGCAAGUAACAUCAGGCUCUGUCUACAAACAGACAAGAGGACGUGGCAGACGCCUGACACCCUGUAUGCCAAGGGCUGCUGUACCAAGGACUUGGGCCACUGAACGAGGUGUCCUCCAGCCAGGAUGGAAACUCCAUACAGUCAAGGUAGUGGGUUCCUGUGGUGGCACAGUCUCUGCAGAGAACUACUGAACUGUUUGUGCUCUGCUUGCCGAGCUUUUGAAUAUUGAAGGAAAUGUAGUAGUGAAAACAUGAACAA